GUUCUCCCUUCGGGGACAUCUGAUAAAAUUGGAACGGUACAGAGAAGAUUAGCAUGGCCCGUGCGCAAGAAUGACACGCACAAAUCGAGAAAUGGUCCAAAUUUUU
rnacentral:snRNA from 1 species